rnacentral:tRNA from 1 species
GCCGGGGUGGCCGAGCGGUCAAGGCGGCGGAUUGCUAAUCCGCUGGCGAUUUCGCCUCCCGGGUUCGAAUCCCGGCCCCGGCGCCA